rnacentral:rRNA from 1 species
GUCCACGCUGUAAACGAUGGGCACUAGGUGUCCGGGGUAUUGACCCCCUGGGUGCCGCAGCUAACGCAUUAAGUGCCCCGCCUGGGGAGUACGGUCGCAAGAUUAAAACUCAAAGGAAUUGACGGGGGCCCGCACAAGCGGUGGAGCAUGUGGUUCAAUUCGACGCAACGCGAAGAACCUUACCUGGGCUAGACAACAGUGGACCGUCCUAGAGAUAGGAUCUUCCCUUCGGGGACCACUGGUUCAGGUGCUGCAUGGCUGUCGU